rnacentral:rRNA from 1 species
CCUACGGGAGGCAGCAGUCGGGAAUCUUGCACAAUGGGCGAAAGCCUGAUGCAGCAACACCGUGUGAGCGAUGAAGGCCCUAGGGUCGUAAAGCCCUGUUGUUAGGGACGAAGGGCGAAGGGUUAAUAGCCCUUAGCCUGACGGUACCUUUCGAGGAAGCCCCGGCUAACUACGUGCCAGCAGCCGCGGUAAUACGUAGGGGGCGAGCGUUGUCCGGAAUUAUUGGGCGUAAAGAGCGUGUAGGCGGCUUGGUAAGUCUGCUGUGAAACCUUGGGGCUCAACCCCAAGCGUGCAGUGGAUACUGUCAAGCUAGAGGAUGGUAGAGGCCAGUGGAAUUCCCGGUGUAGCGGUGAAAUGCGCAGAUAUCGGGAGGAACACCAGUAGCGAAGGCGGCUGGCUGGGCCAUUCCUGACGCUGAGACGCGAAAGCUAGGGGAGCGAACAGGAUUAGAUACCCUGGUAGUCCUAGCCGUAAACGAUGAACACUAGGUGUGGGGGGAGUCGAAUCCCUCCGUGCCGAAGCCAACGCGUUAAGUGUUCCGCCUGGGGAGUACGGCCGCAAGGCUAAAACUCAAAUGAAUUGACGGGG